rnacentral:rRNA from 1 species
GAGGAAAGCGGGGGGUGUGCCUAAUACAUGCAAGUCGAGCGAAAGGACGAUAAGCUUGUUUCUCUGAUGUUAGCGGCGGACGGGUGAGUAACACGUGGAUAACCUACCUAUAUGACUGGGAUAAUUUCGGGAAACCGGAGCUUAUACCGGAUAAUAUUUUGAACCGCAUGGUUCAAAAGUGAAUGACGGUUUUGCUGUCACUUAUAGAUGGAUCCGCGCUGCAUUAGCUAGUUGGUAAGGUAACGGCUUACCAAGGCAACGAUGCAUAGCCGACCUGAGAGGGUGAUCGGCCACACUGGAACUGAGACACGGUCCAGACUCCUACGGGAGGCAGCAGUAGGGAAUCUUCCGCAAUGGGCGAAAGCCUGACGCAGCAACGCCGCGUGAGUGAUGAAGGUCUUCGGAUCGUAAAGCUCUGUUAUUAGGGAAGAACAUAUGUGUAAGUAACUGUGCACAUCUUGACGGUACCUAAUCAGAAAGCCACGGCUAACUACGUG